rnacentral:lncRNA from 1 species
AUAGAUAUUAAAAAACCUUGCAAGUUGACUUGAAGGUAAACCUUUAUGUGCUUAUCAUUGAUUUGUUACUCUGAAUUGUACCUAAAAUGUUUACAUUUCUUUGUCUAAUUAUUUAUCUACAGGAAUUAGUCACUCAAGAAAAAGCCACACCUCUUUUGAAUGCGCCAUCAAUUGUUUCAUCUAGCAAUGAUCUCAAAAAAAAUUCAGAAGACCUUUCAGUUGCAGCUUCUCAUUUGCAAUUUUCUGGUUCAAUAUUAGAUGCUCCAGUGCCUUCUUCUUCUCUAGAUAUUUGUUCCACCUUGCAAUUUAGCAUUCAAGAUUUGAGGAAAAGGAGGCAGCAGAGGCUGUCCAUAAUGCAAUCUAGUUGUCAUACAUCUGGAAGUGUAAAGAUGAGAAGGUCAACAAUGUUGCAGGUUUCUUUUAGCUGGCACUAGAACUUGAUUCUGCUCUUAUUCUAAUUAACUUAGUUUCUUGUGUAGGUGCUUUGCUGCUGCGACACUGGAGCUUUCUCAACCAGAAAAUGAGGAGCGUAAAGCAAGGGCUUUAGCUGCAGCAACUACCGAGUUGGAAAGGCUCUUUAGAAAAGAGGACUUUGGCAGAAUGAAGGUGAUUUAUUGAUCGUAUAUCUGCUUCUGUAUCUGCACCUGUAUCUGCACAAGUUUGAAGCUUGACUUCGUUUGUCCCAUGUUUGCAUGACUUGGUCUCUCUCUCUUUUUCUUUUUUUUGUGGGGGGGAGAGUUUCAUUUCCCUGGGGACUUUGGUCCGUGCUGGUCUUAUGCAAUUAAUAUCAUCACAAGGAUAUUGUACAAUUUGCUCUUGCAUUUCAUGAAUUUAGAUAAUAAAAAGUUGGGUCCAUACACAUCACUAGCACUAGAACUUACAAUUGACUGAUUGAGCAUUUAGGGUGCGUUUGAGAUUGGGGUUCGGCAGUUGUAGUUUAAAAACUACAGCACUAAAAUGUUUGGUAAACAUUAGCUGCUGUAGUUUGGAAAAUAUGUUGAUAUUAUUUUUCACUUGUAUAAUAAAAAAUCUAUUAUAUCUUUAAUAAUUUUUUUAAAAUUAUUAUUUAAAAUUUAUAUUUAUUACAUAUUAUUAAUUUUUGUUUUAUUGUUACAACUUUUUUUCCACAGUAGCUGUAGUUUAAAAUUACAGUACCUCAAUCUCAAACAAGACCUUAAUAAAUUUAUAAUUUUAUAUAUAAUCUUUUUUUUUUUUGUAAAACACACACACUCUCUUCGGAUAGAUAUUAAAAAACCUUGCAAGUUGACUUGAAGGUAAACCUUUAUGUGCUUAUCAUUGAUUUGUUACUCUGAAUUGUACCUAAAAUGUUUACAUUUCUUUGUCUAAUUAUUUAUCUACAGGAAUUAGUCACUCAAGAAAAAGCCACACCUCUUUUGAAUGCGCCAUCAAUUGUUUCAUCUAGCAAUGAUCUCAAAAAAAAUUCAGAAGACCUUUCAGUUGCAGCUUCUCAUUUGCAAUUUUCUGGUUCAAUAUUAGAUGCUCCAGUGCCUUCUUCUUCUCUAGAUAUUUGUUCCACCUUGCAAUUUAGCAUUCAAGAUUUGAGGAAAAGGAGGCAGCAGAGGCUGUCCAUAAUGCAAUCUAGUUGUCAUACAUCUGGAAGUGUAAAGAUGAGAAGGUC